UACGUAGGGUGCAAGCGUUGUCCGGAAUUAUUGGGCGUAAAGAGCUCGUAGGCGGUCUGUCGCGUCGGCUGUGAAAACUUGGGGCUCAACCCCAAGCCUGCAGUCGAUACGGGCAGACUAGAGUCCGGCAGGGGAGACUGGAAUUCCUGGUGUAGCGGUGAAAUGCGCAGAUAUCAGGAGGAACACCGGUGGCGAAGGCGGUGGUCUGGGCCGGCACUGACGCUGAGGAGCGAAAGCGUGGGGAGCGAACAGG
rnacentral:rRNA from 1 species